CUCCCCUGAUGACCUCAGUUUAGUGCCACGUGUCUGCGCCACUGAUUCACACUGAUGGGAAUGAGGGACUGAGGAG